rnacentral:tRNA from 2 species
CGCGGGAUAAAGCAGUGGUAGCUUGACGGGGUUCAUAUCCCUGGAGUCGCAGGUUCGAAUCCUGCUCCCGCAA